UAGGGAAUAUUGCACAAUGGGCGAAAGCCUGAUGCAGCAACGCCGCGUGCGCGAAGAAGGUCUUCGGAUCGUAAAGCGCUUUUUGGGGAGAUGAGGAAGGACAGUAUCCCCAGAAUAAGGCUCGGCUAACUACGUGCCAGCAGCCGCGGUAAAAACGUAGGAGCCAAGCGUUAUCCGAAUUCACUGGGCGUAAAGCGCGUGCAGGCGGUCUGGUAAGUUGGAUGUGAAAUCUCCUGGCUCAACUGGGAGAGGCCGUUCAAUACUGUCAGACUAGAGGGCGACAGAGGGAGGUGGAAUUCCGGGUGUAGUGGUGAAAUGCGUAGAUAUCCGGAGGAACACCAGAGGCGAAGGCGACCUCCUGGGUCGUACCUGACGCUCAGAUGCGAAAGCUAGGGGAGCGAACGGGAUUAGAAACCCCGGUAGUCCUAGCCGUAAACGAUGUAGACUGGGUGUUGGCGGGGUAAAAGCCGUCAGUGCCGAAGCAAACGCGAUAAGUCUACCGCCG
rnacentral:rRNA from 1 species